GGCUUCAAACCUAGAUCCCCAGUGCUCACUUGGAACUAUAUGAAGAUUAUUAGCAUGGCCCCUGCAUAAGGAUCACAUGCAAAUUCCAUGAAUGUCAUGUCCGUGCAGCAUUCCAUACUUUU
rnacentral:snRNA from 1 species